GGUUGUAUAGUGUAGCGGUUAUCACUCCGGAUUCUGAUUCUGACUCGAGUCACUUCCGGCAACCCCGGUUCGAUUCCGGGUACGACCU